UUUUUUUUUUUGAGACGGAGUCUCGCUCUGUCACCCAGGCUGGAGUGCAGUGGCCGGAUCUCUGCUCACUGCAAGCUCCGCCUCCCGGGUUUACGCCAUUCUCCUGCCUCAGCCUCCCGUACUGAGUAGUAUUUCUUUGUAGGGAUGUAGCACAGGUUGUUUACCUGCUAAAGAAUAUUUAGUUCGCUGCCAGGUCUUGCCUGUUACGACUGGAGCCUCCAUAGGCAUUUGCGUACCGUGCCCCUGAGGACAUAGACUUUCAGUUUGUUAGGGAACACACCAGGGGCAGGGUUGCUGGGUCCUGUGGUGCGUGCCUGACUCUGCACCUGACUCUCCAGCUUGCCAGGCCCCUUGCCUUCUCAGCCUUCUCAGCCAGGAUGCAUCGGAGUCCUGCCGCCGUGAUUUUCAUCUUGGGCGUGUUGCGGGAUCUCAUUAUGGUUUCAGUUUGCAGUCUGCUGGUGGCCACAGCCUGGGCAUCUCCUUAGCACUGCUGUGUGUGCUGCAGGUGCCCUUUGCUAAGUUUUUGUUCAAGUCUUCAUCUUAUUUUUGGUUUUGUUUUUAUUUCAUUAUUAUUUUUGAGAUGGAGUCUCACUGUUGCCCAGGCUAGAGUGCAGUGGCGCACGUCUUGGCUCACUGUAGCCUCCGCCUCACAGGUUCAAGCGAUUCUCCUGCCUCAGCCUCCCGAGUAGCUGGGACUACAGGCAUCCGCCACCACGCCUGGCUAAUUUUUUGUACUUUUAUUAGAGAUGGGGUUUCACCACGUUGCCCAAACUGGUCUUGAACUCCUGACCUCAGGUGAUCUGCCUGCCUUGGCCUCCCAAAGGGAAGGAUCAUGACGGGAUUACAGGUAUGAGCCACCCGCCUGGCCUAUUUUUUAUUAUUUCAUUUUAUUUAUAUCGGACAGGCUGGAGUGCAGUGAUCAUGGCUCACAGCAACCUCGACCUCCCAGGCUAAUUUAAAAUUUUUUUUUUUUUUCCCCUAGAGACGUGGUCUCGCCAUGUUGUCCAGGCUGGUCUUGAACUCCUGAGCCUCGAGCUCAGUGUGAUCCAUGUGCCUUGGCCUCCCAUAGUGCUAGGAUUACAGGUGUGAGCCAUCAUAUCUGGCCUAUUUAUUUAUUGGAGACAGGGUCUGGCUCUGUCCCCCAGGCUGGAGUGCAGUGGUGUGAUGGUAGCUCACUGCAGCCUCGACCUCCCUGGCUUAAGUGGUCCUUCUGCUUCAGUCUCCUGAGUAGCUGGGACUACAGCGUGCACCAGCAUGCCUGGCUAAAUGUUUGUUUAUUUUUUCUACAGACCAGGUCUCACUGUGUUGGCCAGGCUGGUCUCAAACUCCUGGCCUCAAGUGAUCCUUCUGCCUCAGCCUUAGUGUUGAGAUUACAGGUAUGAGCUACUUCACCCAGCCUUUUGUUCAUUUUUGAAACUGGUUUUUUAUUUGGUUAUGUUUUUGAGAUUCUUUUUUUUUUUUUUUUGAGACAGGGUCUCGCGCUGUCACCUCUGUCACCCAGGCUGGAGUGCAGUGGCGCGAUCUCAGCUCACUACAACCUCUGCCUCACGGGUUCAAGCGAUUCUCAUGUCUCAGCCUCCUGAGUAGCUGGGACGACAGGCACGCACCACACCUGGCUUAUUUUUCUAUUUUUUGUAGAGAUGGGGUUUCGCCAUACUGGCCAGGCUGGUCUCAAACUC
ensembl:lncRNA